UAGCUUUGCCUAAGUCGAACUCUUACAAGUUUGAUAAAGUUCAUAGAAAAAAUUACUAAUAUCUACAACAUCAAAUAUGUAUAGUAUGAAAAUAUAUUUUAUGAUGAAUCUAAUGAAGCUAAUUUGGUGUUGUAGAUGUUGGUUCAUUUUUCUAUAGACUUGGUCAAGCUUAACAAGGUUUUAACUUGGGACAAACCUAGA
rnacentral:pre_miRNA from 1 species